GUCCGGUUAACUCAGUAUGUAGAGCAUGAGAGUUUUAGUUUCGUGGUCGUGGGUUCGAGUCCCACGUUGGGCG